GUGCUCACUUUGGCUGCACAUAUACGAAAAAGGAACAAUACAGAGAUUAGCAUGAUCCCUGCACAAGGAUGACACACAAAUCUGUGAAGUGCACCAUAUUUUU